CUAGUACGAGAGGACCGGGAUGGACGAACCGCUAGUGUUCCAGUUGUCGCGCCAGCGGCACAGCUGGGUAGCUACGUUCGGAAUGGAUAACCGCUGAAAGCAUCUAAGCGGGAAGCCAACCUCAAGAUUAGAUAUCCCUCUACUUCGGUAGACUGAAGACCCCUUGUAGACUACAAGGUUGAUAGGCCAGAUGUGUAAGUGCGGUAACGCAUUUAGCUUACUGGUACUAAUUGGUCGUGCGACUUGGCCAU
rnacentral:rRNA from 1 species